CACAGCAGGCAAAGCUGGCAAAACAAAUCACCUGUCUACAUCUCAUCUCUGUGCAAAUGUUAUGGUCAAAACUACCACUAGAUGGCAGUAGGGGGUUAGCUUUCAGAAGGAAUGACAGAACACUGAAAAUGGGACGGUGAGGAGAUCUGAGUCAGAAAUGGAGCAGAAGAUGCGGGGUGGGAAGGAGAACGCCAGCCAACUGUACUGUGGAUUAAGGUCCUGAAAGACUGAAUGCCAGCCGCCAAGGCCCUGCUGUUACAGUAUGACAAGCUUUAAGUCAAAGCCCUGCAGCCAAAAUAUAUCUGUUCGAGCAGAAGGUUCAUCCUUUCAAAAUGACGAUCUAGCUAAAUUAGGGUGAUGAGUGAGGUACCAGCUCAAUGAUUAAUGCCAUCUAAUCUCAUUAAACACCUCAAA